rnacentral:rRNA from 1 species
AGUGGGGAAUCUUAGACAAUGGGCGCAAGCCUGAUCUAGCCAUGCCGCGUGAGUGAUGAAGGCCUUAGGGUCGUAAAGCUCUUUCGCCAGGGAUGAUAAUGACAGUACCUGGUAAAGAAACCCCGGCUAACUCCGUGCCAGCAGCCGCGGUAAUACGGAGGGGGUUAGCGUUGUUCGGAAUUACUGGGCGUAAAGCGCACGUAGGCGGAUCAGAAAGUUGGGGGUGAAAUCCCGGGGCUCAACCCCGGAACUGCCUCCAAAACUCCUGGUCUUGAGUUCGAGAGAGGUGAGUGGAAUUCCGAGUGUAGAGGUGAAAUUCGUAGAUAUUCGGAGGAACACCAGUGGCGAAGGCGGCUCACUGGCUCGAUACUGACGCUGAGGUGCGAAAGUGUGGGGAGCAAA